UUGAAAUAGAAUCCAAAUAUUGCUGAUAAAAACACGUCAAUUUGUAGGCUAUGGCAGUGAAUGGUAACCUUAUAAAAAGCGUAUUUCAAGAUUUGUUUUUAAAAAUGGGUCUAUGUUACCAUUGACGUGAUUUCACCUAAUAUGCGGUAUUCUACAAAAAAGAAUAAAACACCGUAUGCGUUUUUUUAGGGUGAACAAAAUUCACUGAACCGCAGUAUGUUUUUGAAGAUAGCUAUUAUCCAGCGCACGCCGUUGACAGCUCCUAGACCAAGCAAGCCACCAACUUCGGGCGUAACCUCUCCUUCCCAGAUCUAGCGGGUCCUCAACUCGCCGAACUAGAUCCCUUCGAACCGGCCAAGAAGGAAGUAAGACGCGGCGGUGGUUAGGACCGAUGGCUCAAUCGGAAACCCUAGGCACUCUGAAUCCGCGGCAGCCGGCGAGAUCCAAAAGGAACCACCGUUAACCUUCAAGGCAAAUCAGCAACCCUCCUUCCCCUCCAUCUACUUCCGCCGUAGAUCUAUUUCCGACACGACGGGUGAGCCACGAGAGUUGACAGCUACACCACUCGGCAGCGUCUUCAAACCAGAGGGUCUGUAGCGGCGCUCUCCUGCCGCCACGCCGGUUCUGCAUCUACGUCGAGAAAGGAGAAAACCACACCCUCUACAAACACCUAGCAAUCUGAGGGAAUGAAGAUCAAGGCCUCCGGAAAUCUGAAACGAAGCUUAAAGAAGAGGAGAGAGAAGAGAGGUUUUUCUUUUCCUCGGAACGGUUGUCCCUUCUCGUUAAGAAUUGAUUCAUCAUAUCUUAUGUUUCUUCUUCCAUUCCAACAUUAGCGCUCAUGAGAAGUUAACUACAAAAUCGUUAUCUAAACUAGUUGACUUA